rnacentral:lncRNA from 1 species
CAACUACAACAGCGGCUCCAACAACCACAACAGCAGCUCCAACAACCACAACAGCGGCUCCAACAACCACAACAGCGGCUCCAACAACCACAACAGCGGCUCCAACAACCACAACAGCGGCUCCAACAACCACAACAGCGGCUCCAACCACCACAACAGCGGCUCCAACCACCACAACAGCGGCUCCAACAACCACAACAGCGGCCAACAACCACAACAGCAGCUCCAACAACCACAACAGCAGCUCCAACAACCACAACAGCGCCUUCAACAACCACAACAGCAAUUCUGACUACCACAACAGCAGCUCCAACAACUACAACAGCAGCUCCAACAACCACAACCGCGCCUCCAACAACCACAACAGCAGCUCCAACAACCACAACAGCGGCUCCAACAACCACAACAGCGGCUCCAACAACCACAACAGCGGCUCCAACAACCACAACAGCGGCUCCAACAACCACAACGUGGCUCCAACAACCACAACAGCGGCUCCAACAACCACAACAGCGGCUCCAACCACCACAAACAGCGGCUCCAACCACCACAACAGCGGCUCCAACCACCACAACAGCGGCUCCAACCACCACAACAGCGGCUCCAACCACCACAACAGCGGCUCCAACCACCACAACAGCGGCUCCAACAACCACAACAGCGGCUCCAACAACCACAACAGCGGCUCCAACAACCACAACAGCAGCUCCAACAACCACAACAGCAGCUCCAACAACCACAACAGCGCCUUCAACAACCACAACAGCAAUUCUGACUACCACAACAGCAGCUCCAACAACUACAACAGCAGCUCCAACAACCACAACCGCGCCUCCAACAACCAAACAGCAGCUCCAACAACCACAACAGCGGCUCCAACAACUACAAACAGCGGCUCCAACAACCACAACAGCGGCUCCAACAACCACAACAGCGGCUCCAACAACCACAACAGCGGCUCCAACCACCACAACAGCGGCUCCAACCACCACAACAGCGGCUCCAACCACCAAACAGCGGCUCCAACCACCACAACAGCGGCUCCAACCACCACAACAGCGGCUCCAACAACCACAACAGCGGCUCCAACAACCACAACAUCGGCUCCAACAACCACAACAGCGGCUCCAACAACCACAACAGCAGCUCCAACAACCACAACAGCAGCUCCAACAACCACAACAGCAGUUCCAACAACCACAACUCCAGCUACAACAACCACCACGACAAUCAUCCUCCUGGUAUGUCCACUUGAAAACAAACACAUCACAACCAUUUCCUAACCUUUAA